rnacentral:rRNA from 1 species
CGGCGUGCCUAAUACAUGCAAGUCGAGCGAGCUUGCCUAGAUGAAUUUGGUGCUUGCACCAAAUGAAACUAGAUACAAGCGAGCGGCGGACGGGUGAGUAACACGUGGGUAACCUGCCCAAGAGACUGGGAUAACACCUGGAAACAGAUGCUAAUACCGGAUAACAACACUAGACGCAUGUCUAGAGUUUAAAAGAUGGUUCUGCUAUCACUCUUGGAUGGACCUGCGGUGCAUUAGCUAGUUGGUAAGGUAACGGCUUACCAAGGCAAUGAUGCAUAGCCGAGUUGAGAGACUGAUCGGCCACAUUGGGACUGAGACACGGCCCAAACUCCUACGGGAGGCAGCAGUAGGGAAUCUUCCACAAUGGACGCAAGUCUGAUGGAGCAACGCCGCGUGAGUGAAGAAGGGUUUCGGCUCGUAAAGCUCUGUUGGUAGUGAAGAAAGAUAGAGGUAGUAACUGGCCUUUAUUUGACGGUAAUUACUUAGAAAGUCACGGCUAACUACGUGCCAGCAGCCGCGGUAAUACGUAGGUGGCAAGCGUUGUCCGGAUUU